GGGAAUUUUGUUUCUCUCUUCCAACAUUGGUUUUUAUUUCUUUUUUUGUUGGUUGUUUUGUUAAUAUUCUUUUGAGGUGAGAACUUGGUAUCUUUAUCUUGACGUGUUGACUAAUAGGAUCAGAUUAUUUUUUUUCUGAAAAGGCUGUUUUUGAGAAGUACACUUUUCUCUCUUAAUUUUUUUCUUAGAUGGGAGAUAUUUGACUUUAAUAAUUGAUUGUAAUAUCAUAUAUUCAUAAUUCUUUGGGUUAUUCAAGUUAAUCAAGCUUUGAGAAGAGUUACAUCUUGAAAUUCAAUACAGAUGAUCAAAAGUAUUUAUUUGGAUGCAGGUCAAGUUCAUUUUCUGUGUUUUCCACUCUUUUAUGUGUAACAUUGACUCAACUGUUAGUUGCAUGAUUUUGGAAAAUUAUGUAAUAUGUUUACAGGAGCGGAAAGCUAAAGAUGAUUCUCAAUUAUGUAGCUCUGUCAACAAUUAUAUAAAUCAUCCAUUUGGUAAAUACUUUUGUGUUUUGAGUCCUUUGUUAGCCAUUCUACUCUUCAUUAUUUUGUUCCUAACAUCUUGGCUUAUAUUUAAAUGCAAAGUUUAAUCUCUUAUGGUUUAAGAUUAGACUUUGCAUUUAAAUGCAAACAAUUUGAUGUAGUUGAUACAUCACUUUUGCUAAUUUCACAUCAGAAAGUUGUAAAAUUACUUUAUGGUCAACUCUCUCACAAAGUGUUUUUUUUUUUUAAUCUUGCAUCUAUAUUUAUCUCCUCCCAUUUCUAUAUUUUCAUAAAGAAAACCUCUAUUUCACAUAAAGAUCAUAUUAGACUAACUGGAUUUCCUGCUUUCUACUUCGUGUUUAUUUAUUUAUGUAUUUUAGUUGCCCACUCCGUAUGUGUGAACUAGACUUCUUGAAAUUUUACUAACCAGUUUUACACCUUCAAACUAAUGACCUGGCAUAUAACUUCAGCACUUAUUCAAGAGUGAAGGUUUUCCAUCAACAACGUCACUGCUUUAUCUUGUUGUCCAGCAGAGUUCCUUGAUGAAGAAGAGCCUGAUACUUCUACUCCUUUCCAAGUUUUUGAAGACAUGCUUGAAGAUAAUAUCUCAUCAAGGUAUAUUUAUUAUAACAAAGAAGCAUACUCAAAGAUGAUGCUUCAACUCUAAGGGUUGAUAUAGCAAGAGUAAGGAUAUAGAGCUAAGUAAUGUUUUGUUCUUUGAGACUAAGAGUCAAUGGAAUAGAAUGAGCCUUCCUUCUCUCCUUUUGGUCAAUCAUUUUGGAGAACCUAUGUUCUUGCCUUGAUAAAGACUCAUAUCUUAGUUAUUUGAGAAAUAUCAAUAAAUUUUCCAAAAUCAUUUCUUGACAAAAACAUCUCACUCACCUUAGCCCUUGUCAAACCCUUCAUCCCCUUAUGCCCUUGCACAAACUUCCAUGGGGUAAAUUCUAAAAAUUGGGGCAUCUUUUAUAUGGAAUUUAUAAUUAUAACGUGGUGUUUGUCUAUAAAUAUAGAUGUUUAAUGGUUGUGAUUCAUUGUAAAAUAACUUUAAAAAGGUUAAGGAGCACUUUUAUUACCAAAAAGAAAUGGUCCAUAAUAUGUUACGUGGCUAUUUUCUUUUAUUCUGAUGAGAUAUUUUCUCAUCACUCAAGAAUGGAAACUUAGUUAUAUCAAACCUUGGUGCAGAAGUAAUGAAUGAUGUAACCUCUUCAUCAGGACCAAUGAAAUUGGAAGAUUAGCAAAGAAUCCUAAGUAAUAUUGGUGCUAGAGGUAGUUCGGGUGAUCUAGAUGAAUGUAAUUAUUAAUGCUUAUUCUAUAUGUACUGUAAGCAAGUGGAUUCUUUUACUUAUGUAAGAAAUGUGAGGUUGAUCCUUCUUGUUCUGUUUCUUAUCCUUUUGAUGGUAGCCAAUUUUACAAGGUUUAACUUUCUUUUUGUUUGAAGGUGCUCCGAACUGGACAAAAUAGAUUUGUCUCAGUUUGGGAUCAACCCAAGUAAAUAUGAGUGGUUUAUGGCUCUAGAACCUGUAUCUUAACAAUGGUUAUUAAAUACAUGAUUUUCUCUAUAACAAAUCAUUUACUCAUGUUUAUCGGCAUUAACUAAAGUCUUUAGUUAAUUCUUUGUUGGGAAAUUCUAAUUAGGGUUGAUUGUACAAUUAAUGAUUAUAGAACCCUGUUCGGACUAACCUAAACAGCCUCUUCCUCGGCAAUCCUGGUUUAUCUUGAUUUACCCAAUACUGGUUUGGGCAUACAUCUAUGUAUAUUUUUUGUAGUUUCAAGAAGCCAACUCUAUGUAGGCAUGCAGAGAAUUUCCCACACCAAAUUAUAAUCAAAAUCGAUCCCUUUUAGUAAUCUAUUUUAUUUAAACAUACAGUCUGCCAAACCCAAUCCAGAAUACCAAAACAUCCUCUUAUUAAUUCAUGUAAAAACUAGGAAAACUCGUGAUGCUAUAAAUAAUAUACAAAAACAAAAACAAAACAGGGAGAAUAUAGUUUAUUAUUAUAUUCUCAGAGCAAUCAGUGAAGAAACUUCAUUAUUAUAUGUCACACAGAAGCUAAAAACAAAAA